GGAGAUUGGCAGGGAUGUGUCAGCUGACUGGAGUUCGCCACGAACCGUUCGCGGAAAGUUCACGGACGGUUCGCGACAUCUCUAUUUCUGACAGGCUUUGUGGUUUAUGAUCUACUAGUCACUUCUAGUGUGCCAUAUAGGAAGUAUAAUUCCUUAAACUGAAUUUAUAAUCCUGAAAAUAAUUAUUUAGAGACCAUAGACUCCCUUCUUGAAUGUGCAUGCUGUCUUACCCUCCUUUGCACUGUAAAAUACCUUGUUUCUAGCUCCAGUGAUGAUGGCAAGCGUGCUGAUGUCGCACUCCAUCUCAUCC